CGAAAUCUGGAGACGAAGACAGCUGGCAAAUAUUUUUACAGUAUUUGCUAGUUGCUUUUGUCCCCUGAUUAUU